GGAGGUCCGAACCCACGAGCGUUGAAAAGCUCGGGGAUGACUUGUGGGUAGCGGUGAAAUUCCAAUCGAGCCCGGAGAUAGCUGGUUCUCCCCGAAAUAGCUUUAGGGCUAGCCUCAAGGUGAGAGAUACGGAGGUAGAGCACUGAAUGUCCUAGGGGGUAUUGCACCUACCGAAGACUAUCAAACUCCGAAUGCCGUCAUCUUAUACUUGGGAGUCAGACUGUGGGUGAUAAGAUUCAUAGUCGAAAGGGCAACAGCCCAGAUCGUCAGCUAAGGUCCCUAAAUGUAAGUUAAGUGGUAAAGGAUGUGGGAUUGCACAGACAACCAGGAUGUUGGCUUAGAAGCAGCCACUCAUUCAAAGAGUGCGUAAUAGCUCACUGGUCGAGUGAUCCUGCGCCGAAGAUUUCCGGGGCUAAAACUUACUACCGAAGCUACGGCAUCAGUAAUGAUGGGUAGGGGAGCUUCCCAUACGGGUUGAAGCAUGACCGUAAGGACAUGUGGACAGUAUGGGAGUGAGAAUGUUGGCAUGAGUAGCGAGAUGUGGGUGAGAAUCCCACAGGCCGUAAACCCAAGGUUUCCAGGGGAAGGUUCGUCCGCCCUGGGUUAGUCGGGACCUAAGCUGAGGCCGAAAGGCGUAGGUGAUGGACAACAGGUUGAUAUUCCUGUACUACCGAUAACCGUUUGAGAGAUGGGAUGACACAGUAGGAUAAGCUAAGCACACUGUUGGUUAUGUGUGCCCAAGCAUUGAGGCAGUCAAAGUAGGCAAAUCCGCUUUGAUAAUGCUGGGAUGUGAUGGGGAGCGAAAUUUAGUAGCGAAGUAGCUGAUUUCACACUGUCAAGAAAAGUCUCGAUCGAGGUUAAAGGUACCCGUACCGCAAACCGACACAGGUGGGUGAGGAGAGUAUCCUAAGGCUAGCGAGAGAACUGUUGUUAAGGAACUCGGCAAAAUGACCCCGUAACUUAGGGAUAAGGGGUGCCACCAUCAGGUGGCCGCAGAGAAUAGGCCCAAGCGACUGUUUACCAAAAACAUAGGUUUCUGCUAAGUCGCAAGACGAUGUAUAGGAGCUGACGCCUGCCCGGUGCUGGAAGGUUAAGGGGAUCUGUUAGAGCAAUCGAAGCAGUGAACUUAAGCCCCAGUAAACGGCGGCCGUAACUAUAACGGUCCUAAGGUAGCGAAAUUCCUUGUCGGGUAAGUUCCGACCCGCACGAAAGGCGUAACGAUUUGGGCACUGUCUCA
rnacentral:rRNA from 1 species